CGUAGGGUGCGAGCGUUAAUCGGAAUUACUGGGCGUAAAGCGUGCGCGGGCGGUUUUGUAAGCCAGAUGUGAAAGCCCCGGGCUUAACCUGGGAAUGGCAUUUGGGACUGCAAGGCUUGAGUGCGGCAGAGGAGACUGGAAUUCCUGGUGUAGCAGUGAAAUGCGUAGAUAUCAGGAGGAAUACCGAUGGCGAAGGCAGGUCUCUGGGCUGACACUGACGCUCAUGCACGAAAGCGUGGGGAGCAAACAGGAUUAGAUACCCUGGUAGUCCACGCCCUAAACGAUGUCGACUGGUUGUUGGGGGUUUGACACUCUCAGUAACGAAGCUAACGCGUGAAGUCGACCGCCUGGGGAGUACGGCCGCAAGGUUA
rnacentral:rRNA from 1 species